UCAGUGGUCACUUUAUUAAGAACACCUGCCUUGCACCUACAGUAACUGUCUAGUUUAGUACAUACUGUAACGCUUGGAGUUAGUCCUGUUUAAAUUAUACUCCAACCCAGAUGAGGAGAUCUUUGGAACUGGUAGAGAGAAGCCUGUGAAACACGUGGAGGAGAUGCGGACCAGAAUCACUCAGUUUAGUAGUAAACUUGCUGGUUUAUUCACCACGUGACACAGGCUGGCUCCUGGAGUAUUGUAGACAGCUCAUACAUGAGUUGUAAAAACAUCCACAGCUCAUAACGCGUUACUAAAGAAGUAAAUAACGAUAAAUGAAGAUCUGGGUCCGGCAACGUCCGUCACGCACAGUACAAAACCAACUCUUCCGUGUGGCCUACGUGCACACGCCUUUUACGUAAACGUAACUUAAGGGGACAGUCCGCAAAUUACUGACCGUUACAAUACUCCUGUUUUAUAGUCAUGCUGUCCUGCAGCAGGUGUCACUGUGUUCUGCUGUUACAGCUGCGGACAGUCAUAGCUGGUUCUUUUCCUUCAGUAAAGGUGAAUCUUCAUGAUGAUGCUACUCUCCCCUGCACUCAGACAUGUUCUGGUCUGGUCACAUGGACUUUAUAUCAUAAACCACAUGACGUACUGGCUCAGUGUAACCAGACAUCCUGCCAGUCAGAGGAGGGAUUUCACAUGUCCCAUGAUCAGUACCUGAAGGGAGAUCUCUCCCUCACCAUCACUGAUGCUGAUUACACUAAGAGGUCCUUGUACACCUGCGCCUGUAAAGGUCAAGAGCUCUGUGAUGUGAGUCUACAGAUAGAGGGUAAGUGUCCUCAAUGGAUUACCUAGUUAUUGUUACUAAAC
ensembl:lncRNA